rnacentral:rRNA from 1 species
UACGGAGGAUCCAAGCGUUAUCCGGAAUCAUUGGGUUUAAAGGGUCCGUAGGCGGUUUAGUAAGUCAGUGGUGAAAGCCCAUCGCUCAACGGUGGAACGGCCAUUGAUACUGCUAAACUUGAAUUAUUAGGAAGUAACUAGAAUAUGUAGUGUAGCGGUGAAAUGCUUAGAGAUUACAUGGAAUACCAAUUGCGAAGGCAGGUUACUACUAAUUGAUUGACGCUGAUGGACGAAAGCGUGGGUAGCGAACAGG